AAUAGAUACCCCGGUAGUCCACGCCCUAAACGAUGUCUACUAGUUGUUGGGUCUUAAUUGACUUAGUAACGCAGCUAACGCGUGAAGUAGACCGCCUGGGGAGUACGGUCGCAAGAUUAAAACUCAAAGGAAUUGACGGGGACCCGCACAAGCGGUGGAUGAUGUGGAUUAAUUCGAUGCAACGCGAAAAACCUUACCUACCCUUGACAUGUCAGGAACCUCCGAGAGAUUGGAGGGUGCCCGAAAGGGAACCUGAACACAGGUGCUGCAUGGCUGUCGUCAGCUCGUGUCGUGAGAUGUUGGGUUAAGUCCCGCAACGAGCGCAACCCUUGUCAUUAGUUGCUACGAAAGGGCACUCUAAUGAGACUGCCGGUGACAAACCGGAGGAAGGUGGGGAUGACGUCAAGGUCCUCAUGGCCCUUAUGGGUAGGGCUUCACACGUCAUACAAUGGUACAUACAGAGGGCCGCAACCCGGCGAAGGGGAGCUAAUCCCAGAAAGUGUAUCGUAGUCCGGAUUGUAGUCUGCAACUCGACUACAUGAAGUUG
rnacentral:rRNA from 1 species